GCCCAGGCGAGACCCCUCAGUCGACUGCACAUAUACCUCGCGGGUGGUCAUGUGCUAGAUCAGUGCUACAACUCUGUGAUUAUCUCUUUAUACCGCUGGGAAUAGGAGCUCUCUCGCCCGCUCCAAGGUUAUCGCAGUAGGAGUGAUCGUUCCCAGCACAUCCUCUGGAGCUUGAAAGAUCUGCUUGCCGAGAUCUCCACCUGCCACAUUUUCUACACUUGUCAGAUAUCGCCACCAUUAUGUCUCUUGUGUCAGUUCUGGGCAGCAUGGGCACCGGGGGAAGAAUCCCUGGCAAGGCCAAUGGUAUGAGGAUGAGACAGUAUUGGGGCGAGCAUCAUGCCCUGGGGAACAGCGCUUCUCAUGUUUAUGGCUUCGGAGGGAUUCCUCCUUCGCUGAAGGAGAAGAAGUUAAAGGAAGCCAAGCUGCACAGUGCCGGCAGCACCAAGACUACAGUCACCACCCCACCUGACACGCAUACUGAACCCAAGAAGAAAGAGGAGAGUAAAUGAGAGAACGUGGAGGUGAAGAAAUGCUGUUGGUGAGGUUCUUCGUGCCUGGAGCAGCCUGGUAGGAGCAGGAGGAGGCUGAACAUUUUUUUAUAUCAGAGAGAGAAGCCGCCCCUGCUGGAGUCCCACUCGCACAAAGGCCAACAGAGGCUCGGUAGGGGGCGGCUUCCUGCCACUUCGAAGUUCACUGCUGACUGGCUUUCUAGAGGGCGUCGCCACUGUCAGGCCGCUAAGGUGCUCUGUUCUCCCAUGGCUCGUAGAUACAGAGUUUAAAGCUGAUCAGGGAAGGUGGACACGAAGUUUCCUGCUGCCACAGGACUUGCAGACACGAAGUUUUCUGCUGCUCAGGUCUAAGGAAACGGUAUUCACAGCUCUUCUAGAGUUCGUGGUUAUAGGGUUCACAGCUCUUCACCUCUUGAGAAUGAGUUAAAAAAUACUCCCUCAUGCCUCGUGGACAAAUAGUGCACAGAACACCUGGGAUCAUGGACAUGGAGUUCAUAGUUUUCCUGUGGCUGAGACUAGCGUCGUCCUCCUGCUCAAAUUCUGAAGAGGAAGACGCCCGCUAUUCACAUAACUAAGAUUUGUGGAGAUUAGUGCAUUAUGAAAAACAAACUGUACUCGUUAUGUUAUAGAGGAAUUUAUUACUAACCCGAACACUUGUAGGUCACGUUUGCUCCCUAUAGGAGCUAGGGCAUAUUAGUAGGGCAUCCUCCCAGGAUUUGGGUAUCUUUUUAAAACUUUUAAUUCCAUCCUUUUUCCAUUAAUCAAAACACGCGCGCAAGCAUUACCACCUCUGCUUUGUACAUAGCAGCAUGAAGCAUUUUCAAGCCAAUUUAUGCUGUAGCGUCCUGGCGCGAGACAACUAAUGCCUUUUACGUCUCCUAGUUCAUUAGACCAAAUCGAGGGUCAGGCAACCCUUGAUUACUAGGAUCAGGGAUUAAACAACCCUGAACCACUAGGUGAAGCAACCCUAGAUUACUUGGGUCAGGGGUCAAGCAGCCUCGACCACUAGGAACAAAGAUCAUUCACCUCUAGGCUGUGUAGAUUAAGGUCAGAAAGUCACUCUUUCCUGGGUCAUCAAAUGACGAAGUCGCUAAACCUUUGGCUGUAUAGUGUGUCAUUCGGUGAUAUGAGAGAGCAAUUUUCUCAAGAGAUAUCUCUUUCUCACGCAGUCAAGAAGUAACUCUCUCAUCCUCCUAGGACGAAUGAUUUCCUUCUCUCUGCUAAAGAAUGUGACUUUCUUUUUCAGCCAACGAAAGUGACUUUCUCAUUCGGCCAGAAAGAAUGACUUUCCAAUCAACGAAGGAAAGUGAUUUUCUCAUUCAGCCAAGGAAAGUGACUUUUUCAUUCAUCCAGGAAGAGUGAUAUCUCUCACUCGGAAAAGGACAGGGCUCCUCUCGGUAGUAUCGUUUAGGUCCUUAUUGAGAUAAGACUUGAUGCACAAAUUCAAUGUUUCAUUAUGGUUUAGCAUUGCUCAAAACCCCGCAACGACGCCGCUCUAGGAAAGUAAUAACGAAAACUAAAUAAAAUUCGACUCCUGUCGAGACGAUACCUUAUAUUUACUGACACUCAAAUGGUGCCUCUUGGAGUUAUCUUACGUAGUCAGGUAUGUACCUGGCUCCGUGCGUAUCCGGUGGGCAAUUGAAUAUAGGCUAUAUUUUGCAGUUUUUUCCAAAGACUUCGGAGGGGAUUUUUCCCGACAAGACCCCUGCAAGGGACCAGUUUGAAUAGCAUCUCAGAGGGUUUCAAUAUAUUUUCUUCAUAGAAAAUAUUUUAAUCAUAUCUGACUGUAAGAUAGAAAGCAACGUAAUUUUCUAUUGUGGGUUGAAAGGUGCAAUACCCAUCAAAUAACGAUAUUAUAUUCUAUAUUAUUACAUUCAUAUGGGAGUGCUAAACUCGUAGGGGGAUCAUAUAGCGCCUAUGGAAUGGAAGGCAAUCAGAUUUGAUCCAAGGAAAGGGAGGGUAGCUCCAGUUCCUGAGAUCACAAUCCCUUCACAGGGAUCAAGAGAUUAGGCAAAUGCUAAAAAACGAAAUAUUUUAAUUAAACAUUUUCUCUACUUCUAACAGUUUUUAAUAUAUUUACAAAGAUUUUUUUUUUCGUUUCAUAUGUUUUAUGUUGAGAAAUGUCAUAGGAAGACAUAUGGUGUACAUAGGUAAAUGAGAAGCAGGGUAAGUACAUUACUUACACCCCUCUGUUGAUGACCCUCAUCCCUACAGAUUACAUUACUGUUCAAACCGUGAAGCUCAGGGCUGUGGUGGUCUGUAAGUGUCCCUCACUCCCAUCCCUUGGAAGGAGAGUAUCUUACAACGUGCGCCCAGUAAACAAAAAAAAUGAAGAAAACGAGAGCAAAAAAUAAAAGUAAUGCGCACUGGUUUAUAAUAGAAACAAAGUAAUAUGAAUCAAUUACAUUAGAUGAUAAGAAUAUUGUCUUUUCUGCUGGAUAACUGAGGCUCUCGUCUGCAGCUUACUGAAGAAAGUCUCAAUGGUAGACUGAAAUGUACAGUACUUUUCUUAUCUUCUAUUAUAUUAUUUUCGUCCAAAAAUAAGAGAAAUUUAACCACUGCGAAGAACACCUUUGUAACGAUUAGUACCGUUUUCUGAAGUAUACCCGAAGGUCAUCACAAAGAACCUUGAUACUAGCUGUUUGUAGGCAAAGUUUGAACAGCGUUACUAAUAGAGUAUUGACAGACGGCAUCGCUUCUAGGCUGCUUCUCAUGCAAACCUUAAGACGGCCUAAUACUAUCAUAUAAAAUGCUGUAUAUUGCCUUUUGUUGCCAUGCAUAUUAUUAAGAGCCUCUCUUGGUGGCAAAGCUUGAAUAUUUUCUUUUUAUAUUACCAUACAUAAAGAGCAUUGUUGUCUUUUUGUUGGAAGGAAAGUGCCGACAAAAAUGGGUGAUACCAAAACAACUGUCGCUUUUUCACCCGUUGCUGUCUCUUUCUGGCUAAGAAAUUCUUUGUUUCUAGGUUAUCUUAGGUGUAUAUCUAAUGGCAAACCAUCUUAACUAAAUACUUGGGGCAAGAGUGAGGCACGUAACAGACUCACCGCUGACCCAGGCUCAUUGAUGUGCUGAGGUGUUUGUAUGUCUAAUACCAGUACUCAUCAACUCAUUCAGGUUGUCAAUGGUGUUAACCCUUAUACCCAUUUAUACACUUUAAAUAAUAUAAUAAGAAAAAAUUA